GACUCUUGCUGUGAAAGGAACCGGGGUGAAGCCUUCUGUACAGGGAAAAGCUGUUUCAGGAGAAGGCCCUCUCUGUUUUCA
ensembl:misc_RNA